rnacentral:rRNA from 1 species
GUACCAGACUCCUACGGGAGGCAGCAGUGGGGAAUAUUGCACAAUGGGGGGAACCCUGAUGCAGCGACGCCGCGUGGGUGAAGGAGUACUUCGGUACGUAAAGCCCUAUCAGCAGGAAAGAAAAUGACGGUACCUGACUAAGAAGCCCCGGCUAACUACGUGCCAGCAGCCGCGGUAAUACGUAGGGGGCAAGCGUUAUCCGGAUUUACUGGGUGUAAAGGGAGCGUAGACGGCAGUGCAAGUCCGGAGUGAAGGCCCGGGGCUCAACCCUGGGACUGCUCUGGAAACUGUAAAGCUGGAGUGCGGGAGGGGCAGGCGGAAUUCCUGGUGUAGCGGUGAAAUGCGUAGAUAUCAGGAGGAACACCGGCGGCGAAGGCGGCCCGCUGGACCGUAACUGACGUUGAGGCUCGAAAGCGUGGGGAGCAAGCAGGAUUAGAUACCCCCGUAAG